AACUCUAAUAGCGUAUAUUAAAGUUGCUGCAGUUCUAUAGCUUGUAGUUGGAUUUCUGGAAGGAGCAACCGGACACACACUCUGUGUGUGAACUUGUGUUGUCUUUGGCCAUCCUUGGGGAGAUCCUGAUUGGCAUUAAGUUAUUGGGCAGGGGAUAUCCAUUGUUUACUAUGAACAAUUAGAGUGUUUAAAGCAGGCUUAUGCUGUUGAAUAUAUUAGCAUAGAAUAAUAAGAUAGGACUUCGGAACUAUUUUGUUGGUUUGGGUUACAAAGUAAUGAUUAAUAGGGACAGGUGGGGGUAUUUGUAUUUUUGUUGUCAGAGGUGAAAUUCUUGGAUUUCCGAAAGACAAACUACUGCAAAAGAAUUUACCAAGGACAUUUUCA
rnacentral:rRNA from 1 species